UACGAGGGGGGCGAGCGUUGUUCGGAAUUAUUGGGCGUAAAGGGUGCGUAGGCGGUUUGGUAAGUCUGAUGUGAAAUCUAUGGGCUCAACUCAUAGUCUGCAUCGGAAACUGCCGGGCUUGAGUGUGGGAGAGGUGAGUGGAAUUCCUGGUGUAGCGGUGAAAUGCGUAGAUAUCAGGAGGAACACCUGUGGCGAAAAGCGGCUCACUGGACCAUAACUGACGCUGAUGCACGAAAAGCUAGGGGGAGCAAACAGG
rnacentral:rRNA from 1 species